rnacentral:rRNA from 1 species
AAUCAACCGAGAUUCCCCCAGUAGCGGCGAGCGAACGGGGAGCAGCCCGGAGUCUGAAUCAGCUUGUGUGUUAGUGGAACGGUCUGGAAAGUCCGACGGUACAGGGUGAUAGUCCCGUACACGAAAACACACUUGCUGUGAACUCGAAGAGUAGGGCGGGACACGUGGUAUCCUGUCUGAAUAUGGGGGGACCAUCCUCCAAGGCUAAAUACUCCUGACUGACCGAUAGUGAACCAGUACCGUGAGGGAAAGGCGAAAAG